rnacentral:lncRNA from 1 species
CUAGUCUCUCAUAGAAACUUCUGGCCUCUGGACACUGUGGGAGCAACUUUUCCUUUAUUAGACUGUCUCCUCUUUAACUGAAGAUACUUUAGCACAGCAAGCAUCUCUUUUAUGCUUACAUUAUGCAGUUAUGCAGACUUGGUGUACGUCCUUCAAGGACAGUCUAAGAAUCUUUGAUUCUAUUUCUGCUGGAUACAUUGUUGCAGAGAUGUAAGAAGGAAGGACUUAGAAAAGUAUGCUAUAAGAAUUGAAUGCUCAGAGGCAAGCUAACUUCACAAGGAGAAAAGAAAGAUGGAAACAGCCUAGACAAACUCAAAUCAAGUCCAGGAGACUUACGCUAGAGUUGCUUUUUCUAAUAGAAGAGACCAGUGUGCAAUUGUGAAUUGUGAUGCUGAGGCAAGCCCCAAGGAUGAAGAGAAUUAAAUAGAGGAGGAAGAGAAGAGGAAUAUUGCAGCAUGACUGGGAAGCCUGUCCUUCAUUACUUCAAUUGAAGAAGAAGAAUGGAGUCCAUCCGGUGGCUCCUGGCAGCAGCUGGAGUAGAGUUUGAGGAAGAACUUUUUGAAACCCAUGAAGAGUUUGAGAAGUUAAUCCAAGGUGGAACCCUGAUGUACGAGCAAGUGCCCAUGGUGGAAAUCGAUGGAAUGACUUUGGUGCAGACCAGUGCCAUCUUAAGAUAUGUAGCUGCAAAAUAUGACUUGUAUGGAAGGAACCUGGAGGAACAAGCCUGAAGAGAAGGAGAUGAACCUUGAAUACAUCCUCCACCGAGCUACAACAAGAUUCUUCCCCGUUUAUGAGAAGGACUUCAAGGUGAGAACCAGCCAAAUUCCUACAAUUAACAGCUUCCUCCAACCUGGAAGCCAGAGGAAGCCUCCUUUGGAGGAGCGAUCCAUUGGGACUGCAAAGGACAUAUUCAAAUUUGAAUGAGGACUGUUUCUUAAAAACAUGAGCAAUAUAGUAGCUGAGUAUUAACAGCUACAGAGGCUGGAGUUACUCAGUAAGUAUACUGAGUAACUUGACACUGCAUUCAUAAAAAGACACUCACUAAGUAUAUGGCCAGAGAAAUAUCCUGAAGUUAGUAAUAAAUGUUAGGAAUCUUAGUAUGUUAGCAAUGUUAGAAUGUUAGUAAUGGAAAUAUUAAAUGUGUAAGAGAAAAACUACUAGAAGCUUAUCAAUAAACUACAAGAACCAACUCUUGUUUGAAGUAAGACAGGCUACCAAGACAGAAUUCAGAAAAUCCAAGGAGCCCUCGGCCUUCUGUAUGAUCCUAGAAUAAACUUGUAUGUAGCAAGUGAAA